UACGGAGGUGGCAAGCGUUGUUCGGAAUUACUGGGCGUAAAGGGCGCGUAGGCGGCUAGGCAAGUCAGGUGUGAAAGCCCCGAGCUUAACUCGGGAACUGCAUCUGAAACUGCUGGGCUUGAGUUCUGGAGGGGGUAGUGGAAUUCCCAGUGUAGCGGUGAAAUGCGUAGAUAUCGCUUGGAACGCCAACGGUGAAAACAGGUUGCUGGGGGUGUGCUGACGCUGAGACACGAAAGCCAGGGGAGCGAACGGG
rnacentral:rRNA from 1 species